rnacentral:rRNA from 1 species
AUUGAACGCUGGCGGCAUGCCUUACACAUGCAAGUCGAACGGUAACGGGCCUUCGGUUGCCGACGAGUGGCGAACGGGUGAGUAAUACAUCGGAACGUGCCCGAUCGUGGGGGAUAACGAGGCGAAAGCUUUGCUAAUACCGCAUACGAUCUACGGAUGAAAGCAGGGGACCGCAAGGCCUUGCGCGGACGGAGCGGCCGAUGGCAGAUUAGGUAGUUGGUGGGAUAAAAGCUUACCAAGCCGACGAUCUGUAGCUGGUCUGAGAGGAUGAUCAGCCACACUGGGACUUAGACACGGCCCAGACUCCUACGGGAGGCAGCAGUGGGGAAUUUUGGACAAUGGGCGCAAGCCUGAUCCAGCCAUGCCGCGUGCAGGAUGAAGGCCUUCGGGUUGUAAACUGCUUUUGUACGGAACGAAAAGCCUUCUUUUAAUACAGGAGGGUAAUGACGGUACCGUAAGAAUAAGCACCGGCUAACUACGUG